rfam:Freshwater sediment metagenome lwFormaldehyde_BCIB38091_g1, whole genome shotgun sequence.
CAAGUCCAGCCCGGUCAAAGCCGUAGCGGGCAGGCCGGUAACGAGUGUUGCCAUUCGCUGGGCGACCGGCGGGUGCGAAGCGUACACAGUGAGGAAGCAGGCCGUGAGGAUCAGUUCCGAAAUCGGAUAUCGUCGCGAUCGCCGACACCGUAACCCUGGUGGAAGGCAGCAUCCUGGCAACCGACAAGCGCGAGGUUGCCCGGAGUCGCCGGAAUCCCUAGCCC